ACUACUUAAACUCUGUGUCCCACAACACUCUUCUUCUUUCUUUCCCUAAACGUUACCUCAAAACUUGUACGGUAUUUCUAAAAACAACCCGAUAU
rnacentral:tRNA from 15 species